rnacentral:rRNA from 1 species
UAAUACGUAGGGUGCAAGCGUUGUCCGGAAUUAUUGGGCGUAAAGAGCUCGUAGGCGGUUUGUCGCGUCUGCUGUGAAAUCCCGAGGCUCAACCUCGGGCCUGCAGUGGGUACGGGCAAACUAGAGUGUGGUAGGGGAGAUUGGAACUCCUGGUGUAGCGGUGGAAUGCGCAGAUAUCAGGAAGAACACCGAUGGCGAAGGCAGAUCUCUGGGCCAUUACUGACGCUGAGGAGCGAAAGCGUGGGAGCGAACAGGAUUAGAUACCCUGGUAGUCCACGCCGUAAACGUUGGGAACUAGAUGUAGGGUCCAUUCCACGGAUUCUGUGUCGCAGCUAACGCAUUAAGUUCCCCGCCUGGGGAGUACGGCCGCAAGGCUAAAACUCAAAGGAAUUGACGGGGGCCCGCACAAGCGGCGGAGCAUGCGGAUUAAUUCGAUGCAACGCGAAGAACCUUACCAAGGCUUGACAUAUACCGGAAAAGCGUAGAAAUACGCUCCCCGCAAGGUCGGUAUACA